rnacentral:rRNA from 1 species
GAUGAACGCUGGCGGUCUGCUUAACACAUGCAAGUCGAACGGGCUCUUCGGAGCUAGUGGCGGACGGGUGAGUAACGCGUGAGAAUCUGCCUUCAGGAGGGGGAUAACGACUGGAAACGGUCGCUAAUACCCCAUAUGCCUCCGGGUGAAAAGUAAUUCGCCUGAAGAUGAGCUCGCGUCAGAUUAGCUAGUUGGUGGGGUAAGAGCCUACCAAGGCGACGAUCUGUAGCUGGUCUGAGAGGAUGAUCAGCCACACUGGGACUGAGACACGGCCCAGACUCCUACGGGAGGCAGCAGUGGGGAAUUUUCCACAAUGGGCGCAAGCCUGACGGAGCAAGACCGCGUGGGGGAUGACGGCCUAGUGGUUGUAAACCCCUUUUCUCUGGGAAGAAGACUGACGGUACCAGAGGAAUCAGCCUCGGCUAACUCCGUG